UUUAUGAAAAUUGUGCAUUUUGCUCGUUUCGUUUGUAUUAUUUGGUCACGCAAAAAGAAAAGAAGGGAUAGCUUUAACAUACCUGAGCCGAUUCUCUUGAUAAAGAUUACACUGUUACUCCCUAAAAUUUGCAAAAAUCUCACGCUAUAUUCAAUUUUCCAACUCCGAACGGCUCAAAUCUAGCCAAAAUAAUUUCAUACUAUAAAUAUAACUAUAGGAACUAAUUUAAAUAAUAAAAUUAUGAUCUUAGCAAAGAAUUAAAAAAUCGACCAAAAAGUCAACUCGGGCCCGUGCCUCGGAACUCGACCAAAAUUAUAAAAACUGAACAUCCAUUCGAUAUUGAGUCCAAACAUACAAGAAUUAUUCAAAUUCGAUCUCAUUUUGCCUUUCAAAACCCAAAAACCCAGUCUAAAAACUUUUACACCUUUUUUCCAAUUUCCCCCACUCAAAUCCUUAAUUACAUGGUAAUAAUAAUGAUAGAUUAGUAUAAUUUAAUCAAAAUUGAGUCAAUAAUGCUUACCCCAACAAUUCCUAUGAAAAUCCCUCGAAAUUUCGCCUUAAACCGAGCUCCCAAAGUCUCAAAAUGAAUUAUGAAAGCAAACCCUCGAAUUCCUCUUUUCUGCCCAGCGACUUCCGCUUCUGCGGUCUAUGGGUCGCUUCUGCGACGCCGCACAUGCGGAAAAAACAUCGCAUGUGCGGAAAACACUUAAUUCCCAAAAAUUCGCUUCUGCUGACCAUUGCCCGCACGUGCGAUCCCGCUCCUGCGAAGGACGACCAACCGCCCCUCUUCCGCAUUUGCGACCACAUCUCCGCACCUGCGGACAAAAGUGCUGGUAUGCCCCAUAGUUGCUUUGGUUAUAGAUCAUAAAUUAUACAGAAGUCUUCCAGGUAUAGUGAACAGAGCAAAGGUAAAGAAUCCUACUACAUUUGCUAAGUGAAUAUAUGGUCAUGAUUGAGAAUUAAGUGAACGGCAGAACAAUUUAGAAUAGGAUCAAAAGGUGGGUUUUCGAAUAUGAAACCAUUCAGCUCCAAUUACAGUAUCCCCUCUAUGUCAAAUACUUCAUAAUGAGUUUAUGCGUCAUCUAAUGUGCAAGAGUAUCAAAUAAUUAGUUUACUACGAACUAGAUCUAGAGUUGUCCAUAAACUUGAGACUAUUUCUUGAAUCAAAGAACAAAGAAGUAGCUUUCUUUAUUCUACAAGUGAACCAAGACUUUAGUGAAGAUGAGGAAAAGAAGAAUACACAUUAGCUAGGCA
rnacentral:lncRNA from 1 species